rnacentral:rRNA from 1 species
GUGGGGAAUAUUGGACAAUGGGCGCAAGCCUGAUCCAGCCAUGCCGCGUGAGUGAUGAAGGCCUUAGGGUUGUAAAGCUCUUUCACCGAUGAAGAUAAUGACGGUAGUCGGAGAAGAAGCCCCGGCUAACUUCGUGCCAGCAGCCGCGGUAAUACGAAGGGGGCUAGCGUUGUUCGGAUUUACUGGGCGUAAAGCGCACGUAGGCGGUUUGUUAAGUCAGAGGUGAAAUCCCGGAGCUCAACUCCGGAACUGCCGUUGAUACUGGCAAGCUAGAGUCCGGAAGAGGUAAGUGGAACUCCUAGUGUAGAGGUGGAAUUCGUAGAUAUUAGGAAGAACACCAGUGGCGAAGGCGGCUUACUGGUCCGGAACUGACGCUGAGGUGCGAAAGCGUGGAGAGCAAACAGGAUUAGAUACCCGAGUAGUCC